CAUCUGGAGGAUUAAGAGAGGCAAGAACACAGGUCAGCAACGAAUAGCAAAAGCUGAAAAAGAUUUAGCAGACGCUGAGCUGGAACUACAAAACGUUCCACCAUAUGAAACUUCCCGAGAGCAAUUUGAAAAGUUAGGUGCUGAAAUAUUGGAGCUGGAAGCUUCUGCAAGAGAAACGAUAUCAAAAGAAAGAAAAAGAGAAGCUUUUAGAAAGAAAUAAACAAUUAGCAAGGCAAACCGCAGAUAGGAGGUGUAUGGGCCUGUAUUAAUUGAGGUCAACAUUUCAACCCAGCUUCAUGCUUCAUACUUCAUACUUAGAGAGUCAUGUUCCUUGUUACAUUUGGAAGCUUUUAUCACACAAGAUUCUGCUGACCGUGACCACUUGUUCAGAAAC